AGUGAACGCUGGCGGUAGGCCUAACACAUGCAAGUCGAACGGCAGCACAGUAAGAGCUUGCUCUUACGGGUGGCGAGUGGCGGACGGGUGAGGAAUACAUCGGAAUCUACUUUUUCGUGGGUGAUAACGUAGGGAAACUUACGCUAAUACCUCAUACGACCUACGGGUGAAAGCAGGGGAUCUUCGGACCUUGCCCGAUUGAAUGAGCCGAUGUCGGAUUAGCUAGUUGGCGGGGUAAAGGCCCACCAAGGCGACGCUCCGUAGCUGGUCUGAGAGGAUGAUCAGCCACACUGGAACUGAGACACGGUCCAGACUCCUACGGGAGGCAGCAGUGGGGAAUAUUGGACAAUGGGCGAAAGCCUGAUCCAGCAAUACCGCGUGGGUGAAGAAGGCCUUCGGGUUGUAAAGCCCUUUUGUUGGGAAAGAAAAGCAGCAGGUUAAUACCCCGCUGUUCUGACGGUACCCAAAGAAUAAGCACCGGCUAACUUCGUG
rnacentral:rRNA from 1 species